rnacentral:lncRNA from 10 species
GGGCCAGCCACCUGCUUAGUCGGAGUAAGAAUGCCUGCAGAGACCUGGACCAGAGUGGGCAGAAUGGAGUCACCAUGAAUAUAUGCACCAAGGGAAUGAACACACAAAUUAAAAGGCUGGAGUAUAGUGGUGCGAUCAUAGCUAGCUGCAGCCUUGAACUCCUCCUCAAGCAAUCCUUCCUCCUUGGCCUCGCAAAGUCCUGGGAUUACAGGCGUGAGCUACUGGGCCUGACCUACAAAAUGUUUUAUGCUUUCAAUCACCUUUCAGUUGAAUGACCAACUUGAAAUCUGAAGAACAGAUGAGUGAUCCUUAAUAGUUUUCUUUUCCCUCUUCAUCACCUCAUUAUCAUUAAAAAGGGCAAUAGAUCUUAACAGGAAUGCCGAAAAUAGCACUCUGUAAAAAGGAAUAAAAUAGGUGUAGACACCAUGCUGGGGCGGGUGUCACAGAAACAGCCUUCUUACUGACCAUUGCGCUCUCAGGAUAAUGAACCAUCGUAAAUCUUUUGAACUGGGAAGAAAAUGUUAUGUAUUUAAC